GUUCAAUAUGUUACUCCAAUUAGAAAGAAAGAAUGUUUCUUGAGACAACAACCUGAAAAUCCGACACCAAAUGCCAACCAUUCAUCGAAAAAUUCAACCUGUACAUGUGUAUAUAUAUAUAUAUAUAGAAUUAU